GCAGGCCACAUCUCACCGAGGUGUUGUUCCGUUACGGUCGUCCUGAAGUCAGCGGACAACUUUUUUUUUUGUUCGUUCCCUCGCCUCGUCUGUCUCGCUGGCGCGUCGGGUUGUUGCGCCGGAGAGGAGCGGCCGCCGCGUCGCGCUUUGACGUGAUGGAAUGCGGGGAGGCUGCAUCGUUCUUACCCAAGUCGGACCCGGGGACGUCACGCAAUGCGGCUUUUGACGAGCCUGGGGCCCCGAUGAAGCAUCCAUCGAGCUCACCGGGGACACGUUCAAAGAUGAGAGGGCUCCGUCAGUGAAGGAGUACAACGUGAUCGAAGAACGAGGCUUCAUGCUGCGCAACCUGCUGCUCCGCCUGGUUGAUUUAUGCUCAUCCUCGGCACCCCGGUGGACGAGAAGAACUGUCGGCAUGCGCAGUCAAGGCCUCAUACCUGAUGGUGUGUGCUGAAUGUGCUGAAGGGACACAACGUCUAACAGGUGAGGUGGUGCAAUGUCGGCAAUCUGUGUUUUGAUUAAUUAGAAAAUCUCAAAGACAAUGAAUGAUGUUAUGUCAGUGGUGAAGUGUAAAAUGAGGCACAAACAAUAAACCGAAGUGCAGAAUGAAAUGUGCGCCACACGGUAGAGAACAUUCCGCGGGUUCAUUUUCCCUUCGUUCUGAUUGGAUGUGGUACGCUGAUGACAGACUGCCGAUUAAACCUCGGUUGAUCAGGAGCUUCUUUGUGCCUCAUCCUGAUGAAUUAGUAGUGCAUUUUCCCUUCUAAUGAACACCGUUCACUGCAGCUCAACAGCUCUGAGCAGCUGUGCAUCAACUUCCACCACAUGUUCAUCGUGGAGCAGAAGUACCAGAGGAAGGACAGCGAAUGGACUGUCAUCGACUUCGGGCUGGACUCUCAAGCCUACAUUUAUCUCCUUGUAAAGUUUCCCAGCACAAGAUCGGCGGCGAGGAGGAGAAGACGGCAGCCGCUCUCCAGGCCGCGUCCCAGCUUCACGAGGAAAACCUGAGCGAGCUGAUGACCGACCUACGCAGCUCCCGGCCUCACUCUGUUCGCUGCGUCAUCAGUGAUGAGAUCCGCGUGGCGAAUCCAAGUGCUAUCGCGUCCUGAUGGUUUUUGGACAGCAGGAAAGCUGUGCAGAAGCUGCUGUCCUCGUGGGGACCGACCACAGCCAGCAUGAGUCUGGACUCACAAAAAGUGAGGCUCUGAUGAUUAACGCCGUCGAGCCGACGCGCCCUGGAUGAAGCGCUUUCAGGAGCAGGACUCCGCAUCUUGCGGAUGCUGAGGAUCGCUGUAAGCUACUCAUCCAAACGAAGGUUGCCACGGAGGCCAAGGGGAAAGAGAUCGUGGCUAGAAGGACGAGGAGACGAUGACCAAGAAGCUAAAGCUGGAGGACAACGGUGCUGAGCUGAAGAGACAUUGAUGAUGUGGAGAUCACACUGGAUAAACGUGCCACUGAGAACAAGAAUAGGAGAUGAGCUAGCCAAGCUAAGUGGAGAAGCAGCGAUGCGAUGUGGCACGUGAGCUAGAAGCACUGAGCCCACUUUGGCUCAGACAAGAGAGAAGCAGAUCUACUGAAGCUGCUGCGAGACCAGCAGGAAACAGGUCCACCACGAGGCCGCUACGGCUACACGCUUGACAGUGUCAGAGCGACAUCAAGCGAGGUCAACUGUUGGUUGAUGAUCAGACCUCCAGGCAAGACCACUUCAGAGAAGAUGUCCAUCCUCCUGAUUGGUCUCCUAAGGCCAAAAAAGUCCUGGCACACACACUGCAAUCACCUCGAUAUAAAUGUCGUCUCCUGAAGGAGCAGGAAGCCUCAGCUGAGAUGGAGAGACGUUCCACGCCAACGCUCCUCAGUGGAGGACUAAGUAUGAAACUGAUGCCAUCCAGAGAAUUUAGGCCCUCUAUGAAGCCAAGGUGGAUGAGACGAGCUGAAGGUGCAGGUGCCAACGACCGAGUGGCGCACCAAUCUAUCAGACUGCUGAGGGGGAGGAGCGAAGCGCUCUGCUGAGGCAGAACGACCGUGCGUGCAAGCGAGCUGAGCUGCUUGAGGCCACAGACUCAACCUGUUGCUCUCAGGCAGUGAUGAUGGCAAAGGAGCUGAAGAAGGAGCAGGACACUAGUGCCCAUCUGGAGAGGAUGAUGAAGAAGAAGAACAAAGGAGGAGCAGGCAAACACCAACCUCCAAAACCAGCAUGAUGAUGCACAGGGGGGCUCAUACGGCCGAAUCACAGGUCAACGACAUCCAGAUCCAC
ensembl:lncRNA